AGUGAACGCUGGCGGUAGGCCUAACACAUGCAAGUCGAACGGCAGCACAGUCCGAGCUUGCUCUUACGUUUGGCGAGUGGCGCACGGGUGAGGAAUACAUCGGAAUCUACUUUUUCGUGGGGGAUAACGUAGGGAAACUUACGCUAAUACCGCAUACGACCUACGGCUGAAAGCAGGCGAUCUUCCGACCUUGCGCGCUUCAAUGAGCCGAUGUCGGAUUAGCUAGUUAGCUGGGUAAAGGCCCACCAAGGCGACGGAUCGUAUCUGGUCUGGUAAGAUGAUAAGCCAAACUGGAACUGAGACACGGUACUGGCUCCAAAGGAAGGCAGAAGUGGAGAAUAUUGGACAAUGGGAGCAAGCCUGAGCAAGACAUACCGCGUGGGUGAGAAAGACCUUCGGGUUGUAAAGACAUUUUGUUGGGAAAGAAAAGCAGAAGGUUAAUAACCGGCUGUUAUGACGGUACCAAAAGAAUAAGAACAGGCUAACUUCGUG
rnacentral:rRNA from 1 species